rnacentral:tRNA from 1 species
GGGCCUCGGUGGCUCAGCUGGAUAGAGUGCUGUCCCUCAAAGCCGGAGGUCAGGGGGUCGAAUCCCACCCGGCCUACCA